CGUUGUAGUAGUGGUACGUUGCUCUCACGUUCGAAGAGCUCUGUGCCAUUGCACCUGCUGUUACACUCAGCAGCAACGCAACGCACACAACUUGAUAGUAUGCACUACUCCUCAUCUUCUCUCUCUCUCUCUGUCUUGUUGCAAUUUGUGGUC